rnacentral:lncRNA from 1 species
GUUUUGAUUAAGCAGAAACAUUGAGCAUUGAGCAUUUUGAUCGCAACAGCCGGCGUGCGCGGUUCGCUAGCUCCCCAAAAGCCCCAAUCUCCACUCUUCACUCACCACUCUCUUGCCUCUGCACAAAUUUAUCUCUGGCUUUUUUGGCUCGACGAAGAGCUUGGGCAAAGUCAAAAUCAGACAGGCGGCGGCCCCCGGCCCAGACGACCACAACGACUACGACAACGGCGGCGGUGACGACGUUCGCAAUAAAUAAAAUAAAAGGCCAGGCCGUGUCUGGGCGGCCGCACAGUCGUUCAGUUUGCACCAAAUGAGAGACAACGAAGACGGCGACAAAGAGCAAUGAGACGAAAAAAAGUUUAAAACUGUUAAAAGUACACCCGCGUGUGUCCGUGUGUGUGGUAGUGUGCGUGAGUGUUCGGUGGACAAUUUACAAGAAAAAUGCAACGGAAAUGGCAAAGAAAGAAAAAGUUCAAAGCGGAACUGCAAACAUAUUGUGAAAUUUGCGAGAGGGAGAAGAAACUAUCAACGUGGUUUCUUUCUCCUGGAGCUUCUGGGGCUUUCCACGAAGAAAAAAGGAAUUGCGAAAAGAGCGAAGAACAGUACAGAGAGGCCGAGAGAAUUACUGGUCGAAGAAGAGGUUCAAGACUUAUUUAUAGCAUUUUGAUAUCACAAGGCAGCAGCAGCAGCAGCAACAAUUAAGUGACGCCAAUGUUUGAGGCGGCAGCUUCUAGGCUGGUUGUGUGUGUGAGUGCGAGCGACCACAUGAUUCUACAUACUUCCAAAUUUCCUUUUUACCCACACGCGCCACUCACACCAGCACAGAGUACCGCAGUCACACUCAUACACACUAGGACAGAGUUGCCCUGCAAAAAACUUUUUGUCGC